CAGCCGCCGCGGUAAUACAGAGGGUGCGAGCGUUAAUCGGAUUUACUGGGCGUAAAGCGUGCGUAGGCGGCUUCUUAAGUCGGAUGUGAAAUCCCUGAGCUUAACUUAGGAAUUGCAUUCGAUACUGGGAAGCUAGAGUAUGGGAGAGGAUGGUAGAAUUCCAGGUGUAGCGGUGAAAUGCGUAGAGAUCUGGAGGAAUACCGAUGGCGAAGGCAGCCAUCUGGCCUAAUUCUGACGCUGAGGUACGAAAGCAUGGGGAGCAAACAGGAUUAGAUACCCCCGUAGUCCCUGUCUCUUAUAC
rnacentral:rRNA from 1 species